rnacentral:rRNA from 1 species
UGAGGAAUAUUGGGCAAUGCCCGAAAGGGUGACCCAGCAACGCCGCGUGGAGGAUGAAGGUCGUAAGAUUGUAAACUCCUGUUAGAGGGGAAGAAUAACUAAGUUUGGAGCUUAGUAUGACUGUACCCUCAGAGAAAGCCCCGGCUAACUACGUGCCAGCAGCCGCGGUAAUACGUAGGGGGCAAGCGUUGCCCGGAUUUACUGGGUGUAAAGGGCGCGCAGGCGGAAUGGAAAGUCAGUGGUGAAAUCCUACAGCUUAACUGUAGAACUGCCUUUGAUACUUUCAUUCUUGAGUUCGGGAGAGAGAGACGGAAUUCCAGGUGUAGUGGUGAAAUACGUAGAUAUCUGGAAGAACACCAGUUGCGAAGGCGGUCUCUUGGUCCGACACUGACGCUGAGGCGCGAAAGCGUGGGGAGCAAACA